rnacentral:rRNA from 1 species
GGGUUGUGAGGUUAAGCGACUAAGCGUACACGGUGGAUGCCCUGGCAGUCAGAGGCGAUGAAGGGCGUGCUAAUCUGCGAUAAGCGCCGGUAAGGUGAUAUGAACCGUUAUAACCGGCGAUACCCGAAUGGGGAAACCCAGUGUGACUCGUCACACUAUCAUUAACUGAAUCCAUAGGUUAAUGAGGCGAACCGGGGGAACUGAAACAUCUAAGUACCCCGAGGAAAAGAAAUCAACCGAGAUUCCCCCAGUAGCGGCGAGCGAACGGGGAGGAGCCCAGAGCCUGAAUCAGCAUAUGUGUUAGUGGAAGCGUCUGGAAAGGCGCGCGAUACAGGGUGACAGCCCC